rnacentral:rRNA from 1 species
AGGGUUUGAUCAUGGCUCAGGAUGAACGCUGGCGGCGUGCUUAACACAUGCAAGUCGAACGAACCUUCGGGUUAGUGGCGGACGGGUGAGUAACGCGUGAGAAUCUGCCCUCAGGAGGGGGAUAACGGUUGGAAACGACCGCUAAUACCCCAUAUGCCUACUGGUGAAACGAAUUUCGCCUGAGGAUGAGCUCGCGUCUGAUUAGCUAGUUGGUGAGGUAAUGGCUCACCAAGGCUUCGAUCAGUAGCUGGUCUGAGAGGAUGAUCAGCCACACUGGGACUGAGACACGGCCCAGACUCCUACGGGAGGCAGCAGUGGGGAAUUUUCCGCAAUGGGCGAAAGCCUGACGGAGCAACGCCGCGUGAGGGACGAAGGCCUCUGGGCUGUAAACCUCUUUUCUCAAGGAAGAAGAUAUGACGGUACUUGAGGAAUAAGCCACGGCUAAUUCCGUGCCAGCAGCCGCGGUAAUACGGGAGUGGCAAGCGUUAUCCGGAAUUAUUGGGCGUAAAGCGUCCGCAGGCGGCUUUUCAAGUCUGCUGUUAAAGCGUGGAGCUUAACUCCAUCAUGGCAGUGGAAACUGAAAGGCUUGAGUAUGGUAGGGGCAGAGGGAAUUCCCGGUGUAGCGGUGAAAUGCGUAGAUAUCGGGAAGAACACCAGUGGCGAAGGCGCUCUGCUGGGCCAUUACUGACGCUCAUGGACGAAAGCCAGGGGAGCGAAAGGGAUUAGAUACCCCUGUAGUCCUGGCCGUAAACGAUGAACACUAGGUGUCGGGGGAAUCGACCCCUUCGGUGUCGUAGCUAACGCGUUAAGUGUUCCGCCUGGGGAGUACGCACGCAAGUGUGAAACUCAAAGGAAUUGACGGGGGCCCGCACAAGCGGUGGAGUAUGUGGUUUAAUUCGAUGCAACGCGAAGAACCUUACCAGGGUUUGACAUCCUGCGAACCUCUUAGAAAUUUGAGGGUGCCUUCGGGAAUGCAGUGACAGGUGGUGCAUGGCUGUCGUCAGCUCGUGUCGUGAGAUGUUGGGUUAAGUCCCGCAACGAGCGCAACCCACGUUUUUAGUUGCCAGCAUUUAGUUGGGCACUCUAGAAAGACCGCCGGUGAUAAACCGGAGGAAGGUGUGGAUGACGUCAAGUCAUCAUGCCCCUUACACCCUGGGCUACACACGUACUACAAUGCUACGGACAAAGGGCAGCAAACUCGCGAGAGCUAGCAAAUCCCAUAAACCGUGGCUCAGUUCAGAUCGUAGGCUGCAACUCGCCUACGUGAAGUAGGAAUCGCUAGUAAUCGCAGGUCAGCAUACUGCGGUGAAUACGUUCCCGGGCCUUGUACACACCGCCCGUCACACCAUGGAAGUUGGCCAUGCCCGAAGUCGUUACUCCAACCCUUGUGGAGGAGGACGCCGAAGGUGGGGCUAAUGACUGGGGUGAAGUCAUAACAAGGUAGCCGUA